rnacentral:rRNA from 1 species
CAUUCACGGAGAGUUUGAUCCUGGCUCAGGACGAACGCUGGCGGCGUGCUUAACACAUGCAAGUCGAACGAUGAAGCCUUUCGGGGUGGAUUAGUGGCGAACGGGUGAGUAACACGUGGGCAAUCUGCCCUUCACUCUGGGACAAGCCCUGGAAACGGGGUCUAAUACCGGAUAACACUCUGUCCCGCAUGGGACGGGGUUAAAAGCUCCGGCGGUGAAGGAUGAGCCCGCGGCCUAUCAGCUUGUUGGUGGGGUAAUGGCCUACCAAGGCGACGACGGGUAGCCGGCCUGAGAGGGCGACCGGCCACACUGGGACUGAGACACGGCCCAGACUCCUACGGGAGGCAGCAGUGGGGAAUAUUGCACAAUGGGCGAAAGCCUGAUGCAGCGACGCCGCGUGAGGGAUGACGGCCUUCGGGUUGUAAACCUCUUUCAGCAGGGAAGAAGCGAGAGUGACGGUACCUGCAGAAGAAGCGCCGGCUAACUACGUGCCAGCAGCCGCGGUAAUACGUAGGGCGCAAGCGUUGUCCGGAAUUAUUGGGCGUAAAGAGCUCGUAGGCGGCUUGUCACGUCGGAUGUGAAAGCCCGGGGCUUAACCCCG